CUUGGUUCGGCAGACCGAAGCCGGAGAGGCCAAGGAACACGUAUCCACUACCUCCGGCAUGGCUCUGGGGAGUCUCUCCGCACGCCGAUCCGCACCCGAAAAGCCAGCAGCCAGACUAUUCGACUGAGAGUAAUUGAAGCUGAUGAAUUCUGGCUAGACCCGCGGAUACCCAAGAACGGCUACAUUUCUCAGGCUCCCUUGCAGUUGGAUGUGGCCAUGAGACUCAAUGCUGGCCAUUUGGGUCUAUUUGAAGUCACCUAGAAAUGUUGUCAAUUCAAGGACAGAAGUCACUGUCACAGAGAGGCAAACCCGGAUCGUGGGCUUCAUUCAGCACGAGCCAUGCAUAAUCGACAGAGACCACGUCAGGGGUCACAGGGGGCCACAAGACUGGAAGGAAAGGAAGAUCCUGCCCCACUAGCAGGAGAGUGGGGGAAGAGAAAGCCUCGGGGCCCUCCCUCCUGAGCGAACAUCAGCGGCAAGGAUGCAGAACCGUCCAGGUCGCGGAGGGAGAAUCAGAUCACAGGAGACUGGGCUCUGCCUUCCGCUUGGGUGUUAGAGGAAAUUCUCUGGGCACCCCAGAAACCACGGGCAGUCACAGUGCAGUUGAAAUGGUGGUGGGCAUGUUUCCACGGAGAGGGCCUGAGAUUGCUCCCCACUUCCUCUCGGCCUGUGGGUGGCAUGUAGGGGAUAUAGAAGUUCCUCAAGACAUAUUCCCAAGGCAGCUGAGAAUGCCAGCUUGUGAGCUCGCCCCAGCAAGCCCAAGAUGCGGCCUUGCCAUCAAGGGCUGGGGGGUGGAGCUGACCCCCAAACUGCAGACAUGGAGGCAAUGGUGGCCCGACAUGUUCUGAUAGUACCCAAGGCCAGCCACUUUCAGCCUUGAAUUAAUUGACUGUUUGGGGGAAACAGAUUGUUUUAAACUGGAAGAGGCUGUUACUUUUCACUGGCAUGUUGAAGCUCCCCUCCCCCCCUCCACCAUCAGCAGGAGUGGGAGCAAAUGAGACCACUCGUAGAAAUAAAAAAAAUUUAGCAAAUCGUUUUAAAAAAACCUUGAGCCGGGUACCUGGGUGGCUCCGUCAUUAAGUGUCUGCCUGUGGCUCAGGUCGUGAUCCCA